UGACCUGAUCUAGUCCAUACCCUCUAAGUUAUCCAACCCGAUCUGACCUGAGGUGGAUACGGAUCGGAUAUGGAUAUGGAUCAUUUUAUGGUGGGCGGAUAUGACCAAUAUUGCCACCCUUACUUGGGACUAGGGUGCCAUUUAGAUGGUGAAGUUAAUACAUUCUCGAGCGUACAACCCUAUCUAUUUAGUAGGGCCCUUCCCAAUUCAGUGACAGCUUUAUAUGAUCUUUGGUCUAUGACACUUCUACUCUUCUAAGCACC
rnacentral:lncRNA from 1 species